UGCCCCCUGGCCCAGCUGGUUAAGGCGCACGACUGUUAAUUCAUCUUAACAUAUCGUGAGAUCGUGAGUUCGAGCCUCACGGGGGCAG